rnacentral:lncRNA from 1 species
GGAUCCGAAAGCCAUGAGUCAGAAUAUCAAGGAAGGACUCAGGUCUUAAAUAUAUAUAUAUAUAUAUUUUUUUUCAAUGUAGGUUCUACCCAGCCCCAGCCAGUAGAAUCUAGGAUCUUCCUCUGAAGUCUUAUCUAAGGCUGCAGAACUGCUUUAGGCUGCCCUUGGUUGACAGUCACAUUAGAAAAUCCUGCCAACAUUCUUGUGAGAUAACAAUAGAUUUCUUCAGGAAGAUGGGAAGCUCCGGGAAAUGGCAUGCCUGAGUGGGAAUUUGGAGAUCUGUGCUGACCAUCAACCAUCUGGUGAAAGGGGAAAGACCAUUGACAAAAGGACUUACUUCAGGGAGGAGUAAGAACUUCUGGGUCAAUCAUGCAAGAAUAUAAGCCAAUUAUGAGAGCUAAGGGAUGGCACCAACAAGAAGAUCAGAAUUAAGAGAUGAAGAUCAGAGGUGAAGGCCUCCAUCUCCCUGUGCCUCAUUCUGAAGUUGCCCCUUGGAUUUUCCCAGGAAUGGGGUCAGCCCUGCUUGCUUUUCCUCAUUUGCAGACCACAAUGAUUGGUGUUUGUUUUCUGUGUAUACAGAGGGACAGAGAGCAAAAGUAAGCCCAAGAAGGACAAUGGAAAAGAAAACGUAGCAUAGUUUUUUAAAAUAAUGAACUCAUUGAGGACCCUUCACUUGGAUCAGACCCAAAUGAAAUAAACUUCAAUGCCUAAGAUGAAGUCA